GAUGAAGACCGUAGCGAAAUGCGAUAAGUAAUGUGAAUUGCAGAAUUCAGUGAAUCAUCGAAUCUUUGAACGCACAUUGCGCCCUCUGGUAUUCCGGGGGGCAUGCCUGUUCGAGCGUCAUUAUAACCACUCAAGCUCUCGCUUGGUAUUGGGGUUCGCGGUUUCGCGGCCCCUAAAAUCAGUGGCGGUGCCUGUCGGCUCUACGCGUAGUAAUACUUCUCGCGAUUGAGUUCGAUAGGUCUACUUGCCAGUAACCCCCAAUUUUUACAGGUUGACCUCGGAUCAGGUAGGGAUACCCGCUGAACUUAAGCAUAUCAAUAAGCGGAGGA
rnacentral:misc_RNA from 1 species